AGAGUUUGAUCAUGGCUCAGAUUGAACGCUGGCGGCAGGCCUAACACUUGCAAGUCGAGCGGAUGAAGGGAGCUUGCUCCUGGAUUCAGCGGCGGACGGGUGAGUAAUGCCUAGGAAUCUGCCUGGUAGUGGGGGAUAACGUCCGGAAACGGGCGCUAAUACCGCAUACGUCCUGAGGGAGAAAGUGGGGGAUCUUCGGACCUCACGCUAUCAGAUGAGCCUAGGUCGGAUUAGCUAGUUGGUGGGGUAAAGGCCUACCAAGGCGACGAUCCGUAACUGGUCUGAGAGGAUGAUCAGUCACACUGGAACUGAGACACGGUCCAGACUCCUACGGGAGGCAGCAGUGGGGAAUAUUGGACAAUGGGCGAAAGCCUGAUCCAGCCAUGCCGCGUGUGUGAAGAAGGUCUUCGGAUUGUAAAGCACUUUAAGUUGGGAGGAAGGGCAGUAAGUUAAUACCUUGCUGUUUUGACGUUACCAACAGAAUAAGCACCGGCUAACUUCGUGCCAGCAGCCGCGGUAAUACGAAGGGUGCAAGCGUUAAUCGGAAUUACUGGGCGUAAAGCGCGCGUAGGUGGUUCAGCAAGUUGGAUGUGAAAUCCCCGGGCUCAACCUGGGAACUGCAUCCAAAACUACUGAGCUAGAGUACGGUAGAGGGUGGUGGAAUUUCCUGUGUAGCGGUGAAAUGCGUAGAUAUAGGAAGGAACACCAGUGGCGAAGGCGACCACCUGGACUGAUACUGACACUGAGGUGCGAAAGCGUGGGGAGCAAACAGGAUUAGAUACCCUGGUAGUCCACGCCGUAAACGAUGUCGACUAGCCGUUGGGAUCCUUGAGAUCUUAGUGGCGCAGCUAACGCGAUAAGUCGACCGCCUGGGGAGUACGGCCGCAAGGUUAAAACUCAAAUGAAUUGACGGGGGCCCGCACAAGCGGUGGAGCAUGUGGUUUAGUUCGAAGCAACGCGAAGAACCUUACCUGGCCUUGACAUGCUGAGAACUUUCCAGAGAUGGAUUGGUGCCUUCGGGAACUCAGACACAGGUGCUGCAUGGCUGUCGUCAGCUCGUGUCGUGAGAUGUUGGGUUAAGUCCCGUAACGAGCGCAACCCUUGUCCUUAGUUACCAGCACCUCGGGUGGGCACUCUAAGGAGACUGCCGGUGACAAACCGGAGGAAGGUGGGGAUGACGUCGAGUCAUCAUGGCCCUUACGGCCAGGGCUACACACGUGCUACAAUGGUCGGUACAAAGGGUUGCCAAGCCGCGAGGUGGAGCUAAUCCCAUAAAACCGAUCGUAGUCCGGAUCGCAGUCUGCAACUCGACUGCGUGAAGUCGGAAUCGCUAGUAAUCGUGAAUCAGAAUGUCACGGUGAAUACGUUCCCGGGCCUUGUACACACCGCCCGUCACACCAUGGGAGUGGGUUGCUCCAGAAGUAGCUAGUCUAACCGCAAGGGGGACGGUUACCACGGAGUGAUUCAUGACUGGGGUGAAGUCGGAACAAGGUAGCCGUAGGGGAACCUGCGGCUG
rnacentral:rRNA from 1 species